AACGAACGCUGGCGGCAGGCUUAAUACAUGCAAGUCGAACGCUGUAGCAAUACAGAGUGGCAGACGGGUGAGUAACGCGUGGGAAUCUACCCAAUACUACGGAAUAGCUCCGGGAAACUGGAAUUAAUACCGUGUGUGCCCUACGGGGGAAAGAUUUAUCGGUAUUGGAUGAGCCCGCGUUGGAUUAGCUAGUUGGUGGGGUAAUGGCCUACCAAGGCGACGAUCCAUAGCUGGUCUGAGAGGAUGAUCAGCCACACUGGGACUGAGACACGGCCCAGACUCCUACGGGAGGCAGCAGUAGGGAAUAUUGGACAAUGGGCGAAAGCCUGAUCCAGCCAUGCCGCGUGAGUGAUGAAGGCCUUAGGGUUGUAAAGCUCUUUCAGUGGGGAAGAUAAUGACGGUACCCACAGAAGAAGCCCCGGCUAACUUCGUGCCAGCCGCCGCAGUAACAC
rnacentral:rRNA from 1 species